GACGAACGCUGGCGGCGUGCCUAAUACAUGCAAGUUGAGCGCUGAAGGUUGGUACUUGUACCAACUGGAUGAGCAGCGAACGGGUGAGUAACGCGUGGGGAAUCUGCCUUUGAGCGGGGGACAACAUUUGGAAACGAAUGCUAAUACCGCAUAAAAACUUUAAACACAAGUUUUAAGUUUGAAAGAUGCAAUUGCAUCACUCAAAGAUGAUCCCGCGUUGUAUUAGCUAGUUGGUGAGGUAAAGGCUCACCAAGGCGAUGAUACAUAGCCGACCUGAGAGGGUGAUCGGCCACAUUGGGACUGAGACACGGCCCAAACGCCUACGGGAGGAAGAAGUAGGGAAUCUUCGGCAAUGGACGAAAGUCUGACCGAGCAACGCCGCGUGAGUGAAGAAGGGUUUCGGAUCGUAAAACUCUGUUGGUAGAGAAGAACGUGGGUGAGAGUGGAAAGCUCAUCAAGUGACGGUAACUACCCAGAAAGGGACGGCUAACUACGUG
rnacentral:rRNA from 1 species